rnacentral:rRNA from 1 species
UACGUAGGGGGCAAGCGUUGUCCGGAUUUAUUGGGCGUAAAGAGCUCGUAGGCGGUCUGUCACGUCGGAUGUGAAAAUCCAGGGCUUAACCCUGGACCUGCAUUCGAUACGGGCAGACUAGAGUUCGGUAGGGGAGACUGGAAUUCCUGGUGUAGCGGUGAAAUGCGCAGAUAUCAGGAGGAACACCGGUGGCGAAGGCGGGUCUCUGGGCCGAUACUGACGCUGAGGAGCGAAAGCGUGGGGAGCGAACAGG